CCUACGGGAGGCAGCAGUGGGGGAUAUUUCACAAUGGGGGAAACCCUGAUGCAGCGACGCCGCGUGAAGGAUGAAGUAUUUCGGUAUGUAACCUUCUAUCAGCAGGGAAGAAAAUGACGGUACCUGACUAAGAAGCCCCGGCUAACUACGUGCCCACAGCCCCGGUAAUACGGAGGGGGGAAGCGGUAUCCGGAUUUACUGGGUGUAAAGGGAGCGUAGACGGCAGGGCAAGUCUGAUGUGAAAACCCGGGGCUCAACCCCGGGACUGCAUUGGAAACUGUCAGGCUGGAGUGUCGGAGAGGCAAGUGGAAUUCCUAGUGUAGCGGUGAAAUGCGUAGAUAUUAGGAGGAACACCAGUGGCGAAGGCGGCUUGCUGGACGAUGACUGACGUUGAGGCUCGAAAGCGUGGGGAGCAAACAGGAUUAGAUACCCCGGUAGUC
rnacentral:rRNA from 1 species